AGGCAGAAAAGUGAGAAAGGUUGUGAUGCCUUGAAGAGUUGACUUACAGCAUAUCAAGAUGUACUGUGGUGUCAUAGAGUCAUGGGAAAGAAACUGAUGUCAGAAUGGUAUAGUAGGCUAAGAUCACCAUGAAAAAGACCCUGUGCACUCUCCUAAAGAGACUGAAUGAUGAUCCCAGGAACCAAUGUGGCAGACUAUGGAAAGCGCAUUUCUGAUUCUUUUUUCUAUCAACCUGCUUUUUCACCCUGCUGGCUCCCUCAUCAAUAAGUUAAAUAAAACAAGCUUGAGGUGAGAUAAUAGAGCUCUGAUAAGCAACUA
rnacentral:lncRNA from 1 species